rnacentral:rRNA from 1 species
AUUGAACGCUGGCGGCGUGCCUAACACAUGCAAGUCGAGCGGUAACAGGUGUAGCAAUACAUGCUGACGAGCGGCGGACGGGUGAGUAACGCUUGGGAAUCUGCCUAUUAGUGGGGGACGAACCCGGGGAAACGUCGGGCUAAUACCGCAUACGCACUACGGUGGAAGCCGGGGACCGCAAGGCCUGGCGCUAACAGAUGAGCCCAAGUCGGAUUAGCUAGUUGGUAGGGUAACGGCC